GCAGCCGCCGCGGUAAUACGGAGGGGGCUAGCGUUGUUCGGAAUUACUGGGCGUAAAGCGCACGUAGGCGGCUUGGUAAGUUAGAGGUGAAAGCCUGGAGCUCAACUCCAGAAUUGCCUUUAAGACUGCCGAGCUAGCAGGUGAGAGAGGUAAGUGGAAUUCCGAGUGUAGAGGUGAAAUUCGUAGAUAUUGGGAAGAACACCGGUGGCGAAGGCGGCAACCUGGUCCAUUACUGACGCUGAGGCGCGACAGCGUGGGGAGCAAACAGGAUUAGAUACCCCCGUAGUCCCUGUCUCUUAUAC
rnacentral:rRNA from 1 species